GAUGAACGCUGACAGAAUGCUUAACACAUGCAAGUCAACUUGAAUUUGGGUUUUUAACUUAGAUUUGGGUGGCGGACGGGUGAGUAACGCGUAAAGAACUUGCCUCACAGCUAGGGACAACAUUUAGAAAUGAAUGCUAAUACCUGAUAUUAUGGUUAUAGGGCAUCCUAUAAUUAUGAAAGCUAUAAGCACUGUGAGUGAGCUUUGCGUCCCAUUAGCUAGUUGGAGAGGUAACAGCUCACCAAGGCGAUGAUGGGUAGCCGGCCUGAGAGGGUGAACGGCCACAAGGGGACUGAGACACGGCCCUUACUCCUACGGGAGGCAGCAGUGGGGAAUAUUGGACAAUGGACCGAGAGUCUGAUCCAGCAAUUCUGUGUGCACGAUGAAGUUUUUCGGAAUGUAAAGUGCUUUU
rnacentral:rRNA from 1 species